rnacentral:rRNA from 1 species
AGUCGAACGAUGAACCAGGAGCUUGCUCUUGGGGAUUAGUGGCGAACGGGUGAGUAACACGUGAGUAACCUGCCCUUGACUCUGGGAUAACCUCCGGAAACGGAAGCUAAUACCGGAUACGAACUGCGAAGGCAUCUUCAGCAGUUGGAAAGAACUUCGGUCAAGGAUGGACUCGCGGCCUAUCAGGUAGUUGGUGAGGUAAAGGCUCACCAAGCCUACGACGGGUAGCCGGCCUGAGAGGGUGACCGGCCACACUGGGACUGAGACACGGCCCAGACUCCUACGGGAGGCAGCAGUGGGGAAUAUUGCACAAUGGGCGCAAGCCUGAUGCAGCAACGCCGCGUGAGGGAUGACGGCCUUCGGGUUGUAAACCUCUUUUAGUAGGGAAGAAGCGAAAGUGACGGUACCUGCAGAAAAAGCACCGGCUAACUACGUGCCAGCAGCCGCGGUAAUACGUAGGGUGCGAGCGUUGUCCGGAAUUAUUGGGCGUAAAGAGCUCGUAGGCGGUCUGUCGCGUCUGCUGUGAAAACCCGAGGCUCAACCUCGGGCCUGCAGUGGGUACGGGCAGACUAGAGUGCGGUAGGGGAGAAUGGAAUUCCUGGUGUAGCGGUGGAAUGCGCAGAUAUCAGGAGGAACACCGAUGGCGAAGGCAGUUCUCUGGGCCGUAACUGACGCUGAGGAG